UACGGAGGGUGCAAGCGUUAUCCGGAUUCACUGGGUUUAAAGGGCGCGUAGGCGGCCCGCUAAGUCGAACGUGAAAUCCCCGAGCUUAACUCGGGAACUGCGUCCGAUACUGGUGGGCUUGAAUCCGGGAGAGGGAUGCGGAAUUCCAGGUGUAGCGGUGAAAUGCGUAGAUAUCUGGAGGAACACCGGUGGCGAAGGCGGCAUCCUGGACCGGCAUUGACGCUGAGGCGCGAAAGCUAGGGGAGCAAACGGG
rnacentral:rRNA from 1 species